UGUCCAUCUAGAUGCCUCUGGGAAGCCCGCAAACAACAGCAACUUGAUUCCCAGCAACUGGUGUUCAGAGACAUAUUGCCUUCAACAAUUCAGGCAGAACAUAGCCAUCAGAGCCAUUAGCCACUGGUAGCCUUGUCAUUCUCAACUUUCCCUUUUAAUGAUAUUCAGGUUGGUGGCCAUCAAUAUAUCUUAUGGUAGCAAAUUCCAUAGUUUGUCUAUGUGCUGUGUGACAAAGUACUUUGUUUCUUCUGUCCUAACUUUUCCUUUUUUUUUUUUUAAUUGAUACAGCAAGAAAAAAAAAAGAAAAGUAAACACAGAUACAGAAAUACCCACAGGAAUAACAAUAAACACAAUUUUUUCUUAACAAACAAUAAAACAUAAGUUGGUCUUAACACUAUAGACCCGACCUCCCAUCUAUUCCUUAUUUCAAUUUCAUAUUACUUCUUGCCAAUACACACUUUUAUCACAAUUUAACUUUUUCUUAAUAUAUCUUAACUCUUAUGUCUAACUUGCAACUGUUACUGAAGUUCCUCGAAUGCUGCAACAGAGUUUAAACUACUAUAUUUAUAUUUCAAAUAUUCUUUGGAAACCUCCCAUUUUGAGACAAAUUCCUGUUUUGAUUUAUUCUUUAUUCUUUCUGAUAGACCAUCUAAUUCGGCAUAUUCUGUCAGCUUUUGGAUCCAUUCAUGUACAGAGGGAAUUCCAAUACUCUUCCAUUUUGCCACGAUAAGAACUCUUGCUGCGUAUAAAAAGAUACCCUUCAUUUUUUGUGGAAUACCCAUUGUCCUGACUCUUCCAACAUUCAGCUUAUAUGAAAAAGGGAGAAGAAACCCACAUUAUCAAAUCAGACCUUCUUGCUCCUUGCCUUGGGCGAAUUGUGGGUCAUGAAAAGCUCUUAACAUCCUUUUCUCUUGAUCCAUCCCAAAUAUAUUUGCUGGCUGGUGCUCGGGAAACCACAGAGACAAGGAAUCAAGCAAGCAAAGAUGGUAGCAAUGGGUGCAUGGUUCCAGACUGCAUUCCUAUUUAGGAAUGCCUAUGCUGAAGAAUAUAGCAUUUGUCAUGCCCUGAGCUUGAUUCUGAAUGAAGUAAGAACAGGGAAAGAGAGAUCCUUCCCUCUCUCCGAAAAGCACUAGGAACUGCCAAGGAAAAAUGGGUUUUUAUUUGUUAUAUGGUGUGAUGAUAACUUUCCAGCCUGAUCAAUAAAGGCAUUAACAGAGCCAUGGUACGUUUGGCAAAAGCCUCUGCUGCUCAGAUUCAGAGAGAUAUAUGCCUGUAUGAAGUUCCAUCUGACAUCACACUGCUACUCUGAAUGAAUGUGAAGGGCCCAUCUGUGUAGGCUGGAGCCUUAAUUCAACACAACAAGUGACAUUCAGCGUCUAGACUGAAAAGGAAGGACAAGGGUUAUGCUGAUGUCAUACUCUGACAUGGAAAAUCUAGAGGAAAAUGCCUAACAGUUUCGUUCCAGUAGACCUGCUCCCCUCCUCUGCUGUCUCCCUGGUAGUGGGACUAUUAAAGAAAAUCAAGCUGCAAAUUAGCAUAAGAUCAAAACACUUAUGUGCAAGAAUCCUUUUCCUAAGCCCAUUUAUUCAGGGCUAGCAAAAUGCAGCCCAUUAUGAUGGGGUUUGUGUGUGUGUGCGCGCGUGUGUGUGAGUGUGUCUAGGGAGAGUUUGUGCAUUUGGAGGUUCCCUGGUUUGUGCAGUUUGUGCACAGAAGCCCACUGCAUGCGAUUUCUAGGAAUUAGGCUCCAGUGUUUGUGGUGCAAUGCAGAUUUUAUCCUCAUUGCUGUCAUUACCCUGAUUGGAAAUUGAACCAUGGGGCUUCAACUGCCCUGGUCAUGUUAGCCGUUUGGAAUGAACCUUAUGCUUAGAUGCAUAGUUCUCCCUUUUUACCUACCUAGCCCCACCCUGUGUUCUGUUGGUCAUGCUGUAGUGUGACGUUGGAGCUUGCUGGAACAUUGGAACGGGCUUCUUGUAUAUGCCUGCUGCCACAGCGGCCCAGCUGAGAGAUGGAAAGGGCUCCGCGUUAUGUUCCUGAAAAACCACAGCGUUUGCGACAGGAGAUCAGGAAUAGGACCAAGUGACAAUUACGGUGACAUGCCAGACAAUUUGGGUCAAGAGACAGACUUAAAACACAGGACUGCAAUAUCCAAGAGUAAUUUGUGUGGCCGAAACGAAGGGGAAGGGGCCUGGCUAGGCUAGUCUGAGGCUGAAGAAGGCCAGCCCACAUACAUGAAUGCUCCUGCAGAAAUAAAAAUAGAUUAAUCCCCAAACACAGAAAACCAGCAUGACAGGGAGAAGGCUGCCUUAGAACCUUUCUUCCUGAAAUGCCUAGCUUCUUGAUGUGGAGAUGAUCAACAUGGAGCACCCCACAUAGAACAAAACAAGUUGGAAGAACAAGAGACUCUUCAUCUCAGGGUGGUGGAUUUGAGUCCCACGUUGGGCAGAAGAUUCCUGCAUUGCAGGGGGUUGGACUAGGGGGUUGGACCCCUUCCAACUCUACAGUUCUAUGAUUUCAUGCUGGAGCACAACAAUAGUCCUUUAGUCCAGCAUCCUUCUUCCCACAGUGGCCAGCCAGCUAUUUCCACCAGGAAUCCCACAUGUUGUCUGCCCAGACUGUAGUCUGACAAAGCAUAGACCAUACAGACCAUAGGCGCCAUACAUUUCUGAAAUUUGGUGACUUUGCGUAGGAUGCUCUGAUAGUGCCUGUUGUGGUUGCAAAGUCUGUGAGAUUGGUUAACCCCAAUCUUGACUGCCUUUACUGGACUUGACUGCAACUUGACUGCCUUUACUGGAAAACUGGAAGACACGGUUUGCGUUUGCUUGCGUUGUUUUUUUUUACCAACCAAUUGUGUCGUCCUUAAUAGCUACCAGUAUAUGUUUUGAUUGUAUGGUUUCCUUGGGGUGCCUUUGACUCCAAUAUCUAAUUGGAGUGAUUAUUUAGUUGUUAUUUUUUUUUAAAAAAAGUACCAACCAACCAAUAUUGAAAAAUACUGUAAAGAAGAAGAAAAAAGCAAAAUACAAAAUGCAGUUUAAAGCAGUAAAAUGCAUUAAGCAGUGCUACCUGGAAAAGACUGGGGGGAGCGGGGGGAGUAAGGAGCUGCUUAAAAGAGUAAGUUGUUGGUGCCAUUCUAAUUUCCAGGGAGAGUCCGUUCCAUACUACGGAUAUCACCAUACUAAAAGCUCUGCCUUGCGAACUCCUUAAACAGACUCCUGGGGCAUGUGGUACCCACAUUAGGGCUUCGCUUGAUGAUCUAAAGGUUCAAGUAGGAUUGUAUUAUGACGUAUUUCCUCCUCUCUUUCUCUCUCUUUCUCACUAACUUCUCUCUCUCUUUCACACUAUCUUCUUAUAAAUGAAAUUAUUCAAAGAAAAGAAAAGGGUUGAACAGGAUAAAAAGGCAGCCUUCCAGGCAAACAGAUCCUAAGUUGUUUACAGCUUUGUAUACCAACAACUCCCAAGGAAGGAAGGAAGGGAUAGAAAUUUAAUAAAUAAACAGCAAAACAUUAAACUUGGCCUGGUAGCUAAUUGGUAGUUACUGCAGAUCCCUUAGCACAGGCUUCAACCUCAGCCCUCCAGAUGUUUUGAGACUACAAUUCCCAUCAUCCUUGACCACUGGUCCUGCUAGCUAGGGAUCGUGGGAGUUGUAGGCCAAAAACAUCUGGAGGGCCGAGGUUGAGGAAGCCUGCCUUAGCAGCUAUAUUACAUAUUGAUGGUAAGUUGCCCCUAACAGCAUCCAAGCUGCACCAGCUGCAGUUCCCAGGCCAGCCUUAAGGGCAGCCCCACAUGGAGCAUGUCGCAGUAAUGCAGUCGAACAGUCAGUUUUUCUAUUGAAAAAAGGUUAAACUGAUGGAAGUUGUCCUUGGUAGUACAUCAGCCCUAGAAGGGUGGGAUAGGAAUUUGUCUAGAAGUACAAAGGUGGAAGGCUGCAUUGUGGGCUUUUUUUUUGUUUGUUGGGGGAAUAAGAAAUUUAAAUAAUUGGUGCUAACAGUGGAGCUCCUAUCUAGGCCCAGUGGCUGCCACCUCCCAUCUCAAGGCUGACCCUGAAAUGAUGCUGUAUCAUGACGCUGAUAGAGCAUAAUUCCAGGGGCAUUGUGGGAGGAAAUGGUGGCCCCUCAUUGGCCGGUAUGUGAGAGAAUGUAUGCCAAGUGCUUUGAAUGCUCUAAAAUGCAACUUUAUUACCACAGCAAAUUUGGAAUUCCAAUAACGUAACAUGAGGUUUAAAAAUCACUUUAAUAGAUGGUGAUGUUUCUACUCCAGCAACUCCUAGCAGAGACUGACGAAUAAGUGAGAUUUUGGUAGCUCCCAAACAGCACUGGUUUCCCAAAGUCAUUGGUUUUCAGUCAUCCACUUGAGAGUUGCGAAGAAGGAUCAUGAGUAGGAUUUCAUGUUGUCUUUUUUUUUUUUUUUGCACUCCCCCAACAGAUGCCACAAUUUCCUUGAGCACAAAAAUUAAAAAUUAAAUUGGGUUGUUGUUGUUUUUCAUUUGGAAUGGAUUAGUUGAUUGCAAUUUAUAGCACAACAAGCAACCUCCCUGAAGCCUUAUAUGGCAAAUGCACUAUAACCUUUGUAGAUUUACUACCUAUGUGAUAAAUGUUACUGAGCUAAUAAUAAGGUGAAGGGAAAGCAAGGCCACGUUUACCUGAUUUUUCUGCUUUAGAGGGAAAUUGCUAGAUGGCAGAUUUCGUGGUCUAGCUGGCUUUAUUGCUCAUUUUCAGUUUUGCAGCUUUCUUUGUUUGUUCUCAUGGGUCAUAAUGACUUCUGCAAGAAAAAGAAAUUGCAUUUUCCUGGGUGCACUGAGCCAGGGUGUUAGGCAAAUGUGAAAGGUGAUGAUGGAAUUUGGAUUGGGUUCCAAACCAAGCUCAGGUCACUGAGGUUUCAAAAUAUUCCUUUCGAAACCAGUUCAUAUGUAAAAUCCUUAUAGGCUAGUAAAAGUAAAUUAGAGACAGAGCUAAACCUACUGCAUUGGGGUGUGUGUGUGUGCAUUUUCUGCAGUGUUUGAAAAGUGCCUUCCCUUUACAAAAAAUAUUCAUUUAUUUCAUUAUAUUUCCUUCACUUGUCUCCACUCACCAUUGCCCUCACUUGCCCUCCACGACAGCUUUCUGUAGGCAAACUUACAUUUUCAUUUCACUCCUUUCAAAGUAUGGUACCUAAUGUUGAAUUUUGUGGGUGGAGGGAAUCAUACUUAUGAUUAAUCCAGAAAUGGUGGCAAAGCACCAACUGAGAAAAAUGGUACAAAUCCAAAGACAAUCAUGGCUUUAAAGAGGAUUGAGGAAAGUUGAAUAUAGAUGCAAUCUAGGUGCUUUUUGGUUGAAACUUUCUAUCCCUUCAACAUGGCUGGCUUUAGUUUUUACAUUAAAAUCAAAACUAAGGAAGAAUUAGUGCACCUCUCAAUGAAAUAACACACAAUGUUAUUUUAGGGUUGAUGUUUUACAUUUCUUGCCUAUUGGAAAACUUUGCUAUAUAUGAAGCUCACCAAGGCCAGUUCUUCUGUUUUCUGUUUUCUUUAGGGAGGGAGGGCGGGGGAAGAGAGAGGAAGAAACAAGCUCCAUUUUCAGAUGUAAAAGAUUCUGGCCUCUUGCCAGCUGCUAGACAUUCAAGAGGUAUAGUGUAAUUCAUCCAGCAGUAACGUAAAGUUUUGUUAGCAGACUCUGUGCUGGCUGCAUUACUAAUGUUCCAUUAAAUUGGCCAGCUCCAUAUUAAAAGAAAGAUCUAUGUGCUCUGUACACCCUUGCAACAAUAAUGCUUGACAAUAAUUACAGUGACACCCAAGUCGAGGUGGUCUGGUUGGCACCAACAGCACAAUAUUUCUCUUUAACAGGCGCUUGAUCAAACAUGUUAGCAAACAUUUUGCUGCAACGGGAAAGGUUAAGAUUAUAGCAACAAGGUGGGGGGAAACCCCAGAGAUGUUGGGCUGUCUUUUUCUUAUUACUCAUGCUUAAGAGAAUAUUUUCAACAUGAAUGAAAAACCUACGCGGGACAAACACCCUACAUAAUUAGAACUCCCGACCUGCACUCACCUGCACAAAAGGAACUGUGUGCCAUGGUAGGAAAGCCGUUUUUGUUGUGGUCCUUUGGGAAACAGAAAAAUUAAGCUAGCCGUGCUUGUUAGUUAUACAAUACAUCACAGGAGAGACCUCUUUAGAUGGGGGAAGCUAUGGGUCAUCCAACCAGCACAUAGGAACAUAGGAAACCAGGCCCACUGAGGGUCCGUAUUUUCCAGGGACAGCCCCGGAUUCACAGAAGCUGUCCCAAUUUCUGAUUUGAUCCUGGAAAGUUCUGCUUUUCCUUAGGAUUUUCCCUUAUUUUCAUCAGAGAAAUGUUGGAGGAGACGUAUCUAUUUUCAUUGGAGAAACAUUGGAGGGUAUUGAAAAGCUGUCCCUAUUUUUAUCGGAGAAAUUGGGGGGGGGGCUACGGAGUUCUGUGACUCCUGAGCCAAGGAGAUAUGUAACUAUACAACCUUUAGAAGACAUGUGGAGAGAAGUUUUUAAUGUCUAAUGUUUUAUUAUGUUGGAAACUGCCCAAAAAAGCUCAACAACUUUGGUCUCUUAAAAAAAGCUCUGCCCCAGGCACUGGUGGUGUUGCUACACCCCUGCUUUCCUUAGACAUUAUUAUAGUUUGGCAUUCUGGGCUUCUAGAUCACCCAUGGGUGAUAUGUGGAAUUCUAUACCACCCAUGGGACCCGUUGAACACACCUCCCAAGUCUUCCUCUUAUUCCCUGUCCCCAACUUUCUCUCCUCCUCAUGGUUCCUUCCAUGGCAUGGGGGCUAGCCUGGAAACCUCUGUUUGGCUGCUUCAGUAUCAGACAAGUCCCAAAUUCUGUGCCUCUUUUUUCAUUCCCUCAGAAUUGUGACAUACAAAGUGUAGCCCCCUGAUGGCACGCUAGUAUAUGGAAUUGAUCAUUGCUGCUUUCCAUGUAGGGUUGCCAAUUGAUGAGGGGAAAAAUAGCUGGCCUGCUCCUGUGCUUUUCAGAUCAUGCUGAGGUCCAGAAAUCAGCAGCUGAAGGGAGCACGUCAGGGCAUGACGAUAGGCACUUUCACCUGCCAAGGCCUGCUAAGACCCGAAACAGAAGCUGGUAAAGAAGAAUUGGCAACCUCACCUCAGUUUGAGAGCAGAAUGCUUGAAGCCACCCUUGUCCAACGCUGUCCAAAAUUGCGUCAGAUUUUCCUGCUGCGUUCCCCUCCUUGUCUUUGAGGAGGUGAUGCACAUCCUUUUGUCUGCUCUGGACUUAUUAACUUGCGCUCCAAGUUCACAGCCCAGGAGUGAAUGUGGAGAAACCUAAUUUAAAUCAGUUGGCAAUUUCUAUUACAGAGGGAGGAAUAGGAACUGUCGGCAGGCCACUUCCAGAUGCUCUCUCUCCUCUGGAAAUCAAUCCCUCAAUUGAAAUGGGCUGUGUUGUUUGCUUAAUGAAAUCCUGUAUUCCAUAGUCAAUAAUGCAGACAUGCUGCUUUUAGCAUUAAAAAAAAAAUAUCCAAAACAGCUGAGUUAUUAAUGUUAGAAAAACAGUGGCAAGGCCAGACUCAGCAACUAAUACUCUUCAUGAUGUUUAUUGGCACUAAACAUGUAUUAUGUAGUCAUUAAGCAGGAUGGUUGUGUGCAGUCUCCAUAAUAUUUUUUCAUGCUUUCAUUGUGUUAGAAUGGUAGGUUCUGUGUCGUGCAGAAACACAGACAAGCCCUUGAUGUUAAUGAUCUCUUAAAACCACACAAGAUAAAGCGCACUAUAAUAUUCUGUUUUACUAAUGACUUGAUAAUAUAUCUGCCCUCUCUCAACAUUGCCUCCUCUGUUCAUUCAUAAUCUUACUAAAAUCCGCUUUCCCCCGCUUUAUCUGAUGAGCUGUCUCUAUUUCCCUGUGUUUCAAGCCAAACCUUCCCACUAACUCAGCCAUAUUAAUGAGCACAAAAAUUAUAAGCCAUGUUUUUACUCACCCACAUAUCACUUUGUUAAGUUUUUUUUUUUUAAGUCACCUUGAUUGUUUGAAAGGAACAAAUUUUACAGAAGCUUUCCUGCCUGGUCGUCUUGAGGCAACUCCUGUUCAUCACAGGAGACUAGCCAAGGCUCUAUAUAGCUUUGCCAACCAUCUCUAGCUCCUGCAGUCAUUUUUGGCAACACUAUAUUAUUUUUUUGCCAACAAAGGUCCGUAUAGUAAAAGCUAUGGUUUUCCCAGUAGUGAUGUAUGGAAGUGAAAGCUGGACCAUAGAGAAGGCUGAUCGCUGAAGAAUUGAUGCUUUUGAAUUAUGGUGCUGGAGGAGACUCUUCAGAGUCCCAUGGACUGCAAGAAGAUCAAACGUAUCCGUUCUUAAGGAAAUCAGCCCUGAGUGCUCACUGGAAGGACAGAUCCUGAAGCUGAGGCUCCAAUACUUUGGCCACCUCAUGAGAAGAGAAGACUCCAUGGGAAAGACCCUGAUGUUGGGAAAGAUGGAGGGCACAAGGAGAAGGGGACGACAGAGGAAAAAAUAAUAAAAAAUAAUAUUUAUUGAGGAUUUUAAGAUUACAAAGAAACAAAGAAAAAAGUAGACAAAAAGAGAAAUUAAACAAUACAAGUCAAUAAACAAAGAAAAAAACAAAUCACACAAAUACAUCAAAAUCAAAAAGCAAAAAUAAACAAAAAAUUUAAAAACAAAUCCAAUAUUCCCAAAUCUUUAUCUUUCAUUAACUUGUUUCAUGGACCUCCUCACACCUCCCUUUUUUGUAUUCUAGUUAUUGAUUAUCACAGCAAAUCUUCCCAUUUUUCAUGAUAUUAAAUUACCUUAAUCUAUUUUAACCUUAUCUUACUAUAAAAAACCCUAAAACUUAAAGCUUGAGUCUUAUCUAUACCAAUUUCUCAUAACCAUGACAUAUUCUUGCAUAGUUCUUUUAACAUUUCUGCUAAAGCCAAAUAAUUUCGUUCCAACAUCUUUUUAAUACUCAUUAAUUUUAGAAAACAUUCCUAAAUAGAAUUUUUGAAACUUUCUCCAAUCUUCAUCCAGCGUCUCUUCCUCCUGGUCACGGGUUUUGUCAGUCCUUUCUAUCCCAUCCAUCUAGUUCAUUAACCUGGUAACCUUAUGUCCGAGGCCCGGACAUAUACGAUAGCUGCGCUUCCCUGCUAGAACCUCCAAACAAGCUCAAGUCCCCAAAAGGUUUCUUCAAAGGAUUCAAGAUGGGGGUGGCAGCCCUCCAGAACAGUAUAAGAUAUGAUAUGGAACAUUCUUGUAGGUGCCCUGCCUUGCAUGAGUGGAAGGCUUUCUGCUACUGCGAGGCCAAUAGUGCCAAAGUCAAUCCAGUGGAACAUCGCUAUUUUUGUCAGAGAAAUGUGGGAGGGUAUGGAGUUCUGUGGCCCCCAAGCGAAAGGAGAUGAAUAACUAUAUAACCUAUAGAAGACACGAAGGCAGCCCUGUAUAGGGAAGUUGUUUGUUUUUUUUUAAAAAAAAAAGUUUCACGUUUUAUUAUGUUUUUAUAUAUGUUGGAAGCCGCCCAGAGUGUUUGGGGCAACCCGUUCAGAAGGGCGGGGUAUAAAUAAUAUUAUUAUUGAGUAGGAUAUCCCUGUAUCGCAAUACCUCAAGGACUGCCUCUUUCCAUAUGAACCUACCUGGACCAUGAGAUCAUCUUCUGAGGCCCUUCUUCACGCGCCUCCUCCUCGAGAGGUCCAGAGGGUGGCAACAUGAGAACGGGCCUUCUCUGCAGUGGCUCCCCGUCUGUGGGAUGGUCUCCCCAGGGAAGUUUGCCCGGUGCCUUCAUUACACACCUUUAGGUGCCAGGCGAAAACAUUCUUUUUUAAGGCCUUUGGUUGAUCUGUUUGACAUUCUAUACCCUUUUAAAAUGUGGCUCUUUUUUGGUGUGUGUGUGUGUUAUUAGGUUGUUGUUUUUAUUCUGAUUAUAUAUGUUGUGAUCUUUUCUGUGAAUCGCCCUGAGACCUCUGGGUAUAGGGUGGUGUAUAAAUUCAAUUAAUAAUAUAAAUAAAUAAAUAAAUAAAUAAAUAAAUAAAUAAAUAAUUUUCAUUGGAGAAAUGUUGGAGUGUGUGGGGAUGCCUUUGAAAAGCAGACAUAAGAAUUAUAAGGCUGCAGUCCUAUGGAUACUUAUGGAAUAAUCUUUGCCUGAGGUCCCAAGAAAGCUGGUGGGAGAAUGACUAGUUUGUACGCAAACCCCUUUUCCAAGUGAAAGGGGCUUAUGGAGGGCGUUUUUUCUAGACUCUCCCCCAAAUGCAGCUGGCUCUACAUUCACUGAAAGCUGCAUCCUGUCCCGUCCAGGAAGGCUGCAGUACUCUUCGCUCUGAGUCUGGGUUGAACAGAUGAGAAUCACGGGCACCCUCUCAUCCAUGAACUGACCUGGGCUGACCCUUCUUAACUUAUGAGAGCUGACAAGAUCGCAGCCUGAGGUGAUAUGACCAGUGGCACUUCUUCUGCCUGCCUGUUCUCUUCCUUCCUUCCGCUUUACACUUAUGUGAGUGUGUGUCUGAGUCUUCCCUAAAUAUUGUAACUCAAGCUGACAAAAUCCAGGAACUUGCAAAUCGAGUCUCUUGGUUUGUCCUGAGCUCACCCUGCUAUGCCGAAGCUCUUGGCUAAUAUCUGUGAUAUUGCCUUCAGUGGGGCAUUGGUAGACGAAUUAAACACAACUUUUUACUCCUUCCUCCCCUCUCUCUCCUCCUCCUUCCCCCUCCCUCUGUUUUUAUUAGUAGUGAAAUGAGGUUAACAACCACAAUUCAGCCCUAGAAGUGAUAACAAGAAUAGGGUAAGGUUACCGGGGCAUCUUCCUCGGGCGCAAUCUGGGCAGAGGCACCAAAAGUGGGUAUCUAAGAUCUUGCAGCAUGUCCCCAGAUAUUAAAACAAUGCUAAAUGAUGUGGCAUGCAUUUCAGUAUGGAACAGUCAGGUGAGUUUUUAAAAUGGAAUAGUUAAAAGCUGGUAGCAGCUUACUCAGAGUCUGAUUGAGGGCAGCAGGCCUGGUACAUGGGGUGCCAGGUUUCAGGGUAUCAGCUUCCUCCCCCAUGUUAGUAGAUAAGCAGAAUAAAGGGAAAGGAGUCUUCUUACCAGUUAGAAACUUUAAUAAUCGCAGCGAACACAUCUCCCAGAAUGGCAGUGCUCCCAAUUAAGGACACCACCCCCUUCUGUCCCUAUUAAUCUACAUCACUUCUAUGUUUUAUAAUCUGAGCUUGAACCCUCUGGGCUUUCUGUUCUGCCAGUUUCUGAGCUCUCUGUGACUUUGGAGAAAGGGGGGGGAAUGCUGUCCAGAGACUGUGAAUCUGUUAACCCUCUCUCUUCCUGUUUCCCCCCCCUCCUAGCUGUUCCCCAUCCAGUAUUUCCCAGCUUCUGCCUUCUGAACUAUGUCCCUCUGCAAACCACUGUUCCAAAUAUAUACUGUCCUCCUGCUCCUGGAAAGAUUCAGGGAGAGGGGGAGGCUCCCACCAUUCCUCCUCAGUGCAGUCCUCCUCAGCAUGGUCCCUGACACAGGGGCACACUUGCUGUUUCUCAUUGGCCCUGUGUCUGCAGCAGUCUAACACAGGAAAGCACAUUCAGCAAUGGAAUACUGUUGGUGGGAAAGGAGUCAAAAACAACAACCAGAUAUAGGUGGCACUGGGCGGCAGCAGUUGCCUAUGCUUUGGCCAAUAGCUUUGAGCAGUAACUGUCUCAACAGUGUGAACUUUGGAUUUUGGUAGAUGUUCCUGAAGACAGGAUAUUGUCUGGAGGCAGUAACAGGCUGGAGGUAGGCCCCAAAAUGGGAAACUGAAUCAGAACAAGACAGAGGUGUUAGGUGUUCUGAGAUCCUAAUUCUGGGAAAGGGUGAGGAAGGAACAGUUGUGUAAUUUGGGGUACUCAUGGAUCACAUGUAACCUUGGUGGUCUAUUUCCAGCUAUAGCUGGUUUGGCAACUAUGGUCCAUCCUAGUCUGAGGUGACUUGACUGCUGUACUUCAUGCUUUGGUAGCCUCCACAAUGGAUCAUUGCAGAUAUGUGGAACCUCAGAUAGGGGUCCAGACACCUCUAUCUGCCUUUCAGGACUCCUCCUAGGCUCCUAGGCUUCAUCCCUUACUAGUCCUGCUCUGCACCCUCCUCAAGUGUUGUUGUUUUUUUGGCCUGGCUGGAAUUUUUACCUUGAACUGACAUGGGCUUCAAAAGCCCCACACAUGAGACUCUCUUUUGGCUGUUCUCAUGGUUUGGUAUCACCUUUCAGAGUGAGUGAUCUGGGUCCUAGUCCUCUAUCUUCAUCUCAGGUUAUUAUUGUCCUCAGUUACACCCACAAGGUAGGCUUUGCUUUUAUUGGGACUACAGUAUUUCCAUCAUCCAGAGAUGGGAUCCAUCUCUCAUUCUCAUCUGUUGUGUGCCUCAUUGUACUACUCUUUUCAACUAUACCAGGACCCACAGGAUUGGUCUGCCUGUCACUAAAGUUCACUGGUCUUCCCUUGUAAGCGCCUUUGGGGCUUUAAAAGCAACCAGGACCUUUUCAGUUGUGGCUCUUUCAGCAAGGCUCUUUGAAACGCCAAGUUACCUUUCUCCUAGCUUUUAGGAAGCUGGUUGAACACAUUUAUUCUGUAAAGCUUUCAGGAUUAAAUGCUGCUAUUUUAACCCUGACAUUUGUGUGCUCUCUAUUAUGGGCAUAUUUUAUUUUUAAAAAAAUAUUAUUGGGGUUUUAUUUUUAUUGCUUAUUUUAAAUACAGUGGUACCUCGGGUUAAGAACUUAAUUCAUCCUGGAGGUCCGUUCUUAUCCUGAAACUGUUCUUAACCUGAGGUACCACUUUAGCUAAUGGGGCCUCCUGUGGCUGCCGUGCGAUUUCUGUUCUCAUCCUGAAACAAAGUUCUUAAUCCGAGGUACUAUUCCUGGGUUAGCGAAGUCUGUAACCUGAAGCGUCUGUAACCUGAAGCAUCUGUAACCCGAGGUACCACUGUAAGAUUUAAUGCUAGGUAAGGGUAAAGGGACCCCUGACCAUUAACUCCAGUCUCGGGUGACUCUGGGGAGCAGUGCACGGAAACACCGUUUACCUUGCCGCCGGAGCGGUACCUAUUUAUCUACUUGCACUUUGACGUGCUUUCGAACUGCUAGGUUGGCAGGAGCAGGGACCGAGCAAUGGGACCUCACCCCGUCAUGGGGAUUCAAACCACCAACCUUCCGAUCGGCAAGUCCAAGAGGCUCAGUGGUUAAGCCACAGCACCACCUGCGUCCCAAUCCGAUUUAAUGCUAUUUUAUGCAUAUUACCUCGGAGAUCCAUUUGGACUGAAAGGCUGCACAGGAAUUAAAUAAAGUCCAUCACACCAAACUUUUCUAGUGGAAACAUCUAGGUUUGCAAAAGCAUUUAGUCCCAAAGCAGUAAAAAGGGUGGUGGGUGGGAAGUAGGUGAGAUAAUUUGCAUAUGAAAACCAAUAUUUCAUCGUAUGCAUCUUCCUCUGAUAAUAGGAAAUUAUCUCCAAGGAGGUACAGCUCUGUAGAAAUCUAAUUGGACUUCUAACAACUUGCAGAAAGAAAACUCUUAAUGCCACAUUUUAACACAUGCAAAUGUUGGAUAUUGUUUAAAAACAACCACCUCCCAGCAUACGAGCUCAAUACGGUGUGCAUCAAGGGAGUGUAGCGUAAAUGGCCCCAUUCUCCACGCAAUUCAUGCAUGUAACUCCCAUUGACAUGAAAGGAUGCUGUGAGCAACUCUGGCUGAGCUAACUAUAGCGUUAACAAGAAGCUCACAAUUAGAGACAAUUACCUUGGGCUUUUUGCACCUGGUGCUUACAAGGUGCCUUUGUUGGCAGGAUUCCUUGCAGGAGAGAAUUUGUUUCCAGCCUGUGCUCCCCCAGAGUCUGAAAAAUCUCGUUGAGAAGUCCUUUAGUCUAAGGCCUAGAUCUUACUGAAGUGGUAAACUUGUGUCGGGGCCGUUCCACUUUGGACUGUAGGUCAUGGGAUGGAACUGUCACCUCCCUCCUAGCCACUACAAGGGGGGAGGGGAGAUUCCUACACAUAGAAAACCAGCAUGUCAGAACGAAGGCUAGGCCAAGAGUCUUGUCCUUCACAUAUGUGCUUUGUUUUUGUUGAGUAACAGAGCACUCAGUAGUGUCAGUCCCUGCAAAAAAAAGUGGUACAGCUCUCACACAAGAUGACCACCUUGGUUCCCCCUUACUGAUUCCCAAAUAUGAUCCUGGGAACUAAACUAAUAGUGUGGGCUGGGACAAUUGUCAAGGGUGUUGGGUGGAUAAUCCAUUGAACUCAGAUGUCUGUUGCUGGUGGGGGGAAUACUAUUGUUCUUCAGUAGUCACUCCCCUAGUUUAGUGAUUCUCAAAGUGCUCCGGAGAAUGUUAGGGUUCUUUGAAAGCUUAUUAGGGAUUCUCCAUGAGCAGAUCAGUAAUGGGAAACAAGCUUCUCUGAAAGGCAAGCUUGCUUACCACUAUCAGUCCCGUCCCCCAUAAUGUGCAGCUGCCAGAGAAUGCUGGGUGUGUUCUGGGUUGCACCCAAUUUAAGAGCAAUAACAAUGAAUGCUUGAUGCACUUGGCUAGUUCUGCAGGUAAAUUACAGCUGUGCUCCAGAAUUCUCAGCAACGUGCCUGUCCUGGUGAAGAUGCUGAUCACACAGGAAGGGUGAUGGCCCAAGCAAGAGGGAGGUCAGUAGAUCCAGGAAGGCAAGGUGAGGAUCAGCACCCUGGACAGGGACCAGGGUGUUGGUCACAGGACCAGAGUUAGUUAUCCUGCCCCAUGAGGCAGAACAUACCAGUUAUCUCAGCAGCGUCCUGGAGCAACUGGCAGAUCUUUAUAGCCUGGGGUAGGAAUUCAUAGAGCAGAGGCCCCACCUCCUAAAUACUGAAUCUGGUCAGUGACUUCCUCUGCAGCUGUUGGCUUCUUCUAGGCUCUGGGGUUUCAAGGAGUGGGGAUACAUCCUCAAGGGCUCACUUGGUUCUCUGAGGAAUCUGUGGACCAUUCAGCAGCAGAGGUGUAUCCGUGGGGUUCAGGGGAGGAGAUUCAGGCUCUGGUGCUCAUGUCUCCUCAUGGGACAGACCAUGGAACUGAUCCAUCUCCUCAGAGCUGCUUUCAUGGGAGGAUUCAGUCCCCAAGAAUUAGUGGUCUGAGGUCAGCACAGUGCCAAGUCUCUGUGGCAAAUGUGGCAUGGGCAGAUCUCCCAGGAGCCAAACAUUGUAAAGGUCACCACACCAGUUAGUAGAAAGGUCAAGAACUGCAGAAAUGAAGACCUUUAGGUUCUGGAUAAAAAUUAAAUUAAAUUCCAGGAGUGCUGGAAUCUGUGGGGAAGAAGAGGGAAAAACAGUGGGGUGGAAGAAGAACAAAACCAGGAAGAUAUUUUCUUUGGCCAAUGGAAAUGUUCCUAAAGAAACAGAAAUGACACAGCUGUUCCUCUAACAUUCAAAAUCUUGCUUCGCCCAGCAUUUCCCCAAAGUAUUCCCCCCUCCACUCAGCCCUGUUGCUGCCACAGUGAAAUUGAUAUCAACCUGCCCCUUAUAGGUUGUUUGCAAAAUCAACAAGAAGAAUUUCACACUUGCUUAAAAACAAACAUUCAGACUAAUUGAAUUCAGGAACAAGAACAAUCUCUCCUGUCCUCUGUCUGUACAUGAUAUAUGCUCUCUCUUAUCAGGAGUGCCCGAUGUUAGAAGGGACGCACGACCUAACAACAGUGUUUGCUUUCUUUUGCUAGGAAUUUCUCCAUUCUCUUCACAUUGCAAUUUAAUUUUCUUCAUUGGUUGGAUAUCUGGAGCAGGGUUCAGUCCAAUGAAAAGAGCUUCAGGCUCUGUUUAUCUAUCUACAGACACAUACCCCUUUGGAUCGGCAAGGAAUAUUUGGGCAUUUAAAUUUAAACACACCAUCUAUGAGAUAUGAAUGUUAUAGCCAGUUCAAAGGAACGACUGCCAUGCUCUUUCACUGCCUUGCAUGGCAAUGUGAUAUUCCAAUUUUGCAAGUACAAUGACCUUGGAGCAUUUAUACAAAUGUGCAGUGAGCACAUCUCUUUCACAUUGUCCACAGAAACUGGAUGACCGCUCAGAUGAGGCUGCUGUUACAGCUGGCUUUGUUGACAUAUUGUCAAGGUCAACCUUAACAUUAGGUAGAUUGAGAUAGCUGCCUCAGGCAAUGGAAGUUUGGAAGUGUCUCUGUGUGAUAGGAGUCCCACAAGCUGUUUCCUCUGAGUCCUGCACAUGUUCCUGUCCUCCUGAACCGGUGCCCAAACGGCAGUGAUGCUUGUACAUGCGUUGCUCCACUCACAUGACACACACUGGUGCCACAGAUACUGCACUAUAGCCAUGCAGAGUAGUGAGCAAGUUGCAGUGAGGUGUUGGAGCACAGCCAUGUGUGCGACACGGCCUGCCCUGUACCCUAUGAGCUAGUUUGCAGACCUCAGAUGCAGUGGAGAAGAUUGUCCCAUUGCCAGCAAUGAAAUAAAAUUCAGCUUCCCGUCCGGCUUCUAUAUGGUCACAAUAGAUCUUGCUUCUGAAUCAUAGAAUUGUAGGAGUUGGAACGAACCCUGAGGACCAUCUUGUCCAACCCCCUGCAAUGCAGGAAUAUGCACCUAUCCCAUACAUGGAUCAAACCUGCAACCAUGCUCUAACCAACGGAGCAUUUUUCAUGCUACAAUAUGUCCUUGAGCAGUUAAGGAUUUACAGUGGUACGGUACCUUGUUAUGAGUCUGGGAUCCAUUCUGGAGCCCCGGACGCUCGACAAAGCACCACUCUGUGCAUGUGCGUGGAGUGGUUUGCGCUUCUGCGCAUGCACGAGCAGCAAACCUGGAAGUAACCUGUUCCGGUACUUCCGGGUUUGCCGUGGAUGCCCACCGAAAUGGACGCUGGACAGGGCGGACUUAUACGGAGGUACCACUGUAGUUCCAUUUGUACUAAACUGUGUGGAUAACGUCACCUAAGACAGAGGGCUUAUACACUCGGGACAUAUUAUUGCUGUGCUCUUCUGAUUACCUCUUCAUAACCACAAGCCUACUUCUAAGUGAUGUCUAUAGAUAAUUAACUAGCGAACAUCGACCUGCAACUGAUGUCCUGCAACCUUAGUUCAGGUGGCUUGUCCUAUCAGCACUGGGAUCUUUUUGGGGACAGAAAGGGCUAAGGUGAAGUAGAGUUCAUAAGAGAGAGGAAUAAAGAUAUGGAUGGGGGAGAAGAGGAAGAAAACAUGAAACAGGAAUCCCAUAUGCAAGUUUGGGGUUAAAGGUGGCCUAAAAGGCUGGAGAUCCCUGUGCUUUGCUUGAGCAAUGCCAAAUGACAACUAUUGGGUCUUAAAAUUAAAUUACUGCGUGGUGAAUGCUAUAGAAUGUAGCUAUAUGAUCCCUGAGUAUAUGUAGCUAUAUGAUCACAUGAUCUGGUGACAAUCCACUCCGCAGAAGCAAGUAACAAUUAUGAAUGAACCCCAAGCCAAACUAGUCUUUUGUAUAUGAUAAAUCAAUACUUCCCCUAAACCAUUUGGCAAAUUCUACUUCCACUAAAUCAAAGUGAAUGUUUGUAGUAUGGCUCUUCUGAAAACCCUCUUUUUUUCCUUAUCUUUGUAUCUACCGAUACGUUUUAGUUUUUAGUCUGCAGCCCAUGCAAUCUACAAUGAAUAAUUUUUAUUGUACAUAUAAUUUUGUGUUUUUUACUGUUUUUUUAUCUCUUGUAUUUUUCAAUUUCCUUGUUCACCAGUUAGAUAUUUUCCUUUAAAUUCUUUAAAUAAACAAUAUUUUGGCUAGUGUAGCCCUAAGAAACUGCGCCACCUCUGGCUGAAAUCUCACUUUGUUCACAAGUUUACCUUAGGCGAGUUCCUGUUGCUCAGUGUCUGUGACCCCUUUCUUUAAUAUGGGAAAAGCAUCUUAUAAGAAUUAUAAGAUUAGCAACGUAAUAGUUGCCAAGUGCUUUGGGCACUGUGUACAUGCUAAAAACUAUGAUGAUUUACCUUUUAAGUAUAACUGAGUGAAGACUGUUCUCCUUCUCUUUAGUGUUCAGAUGUGUGUCCUAGAAAAGGGAUAUGUAAAAUUGUGCUGUCUAAGACUGCUGCUGCAGUUUCUUUAUAUAUUUUCACUUUCUCAGAAUGAAACAAAACUCCUUUGUGGACUGAGAUGCUCUGUGUACAGAAAUGAAUGGAAGGUUUCCUGGAAAAAAGGAGAGGAAGAGUGGCGUCUUGGAUGAUUGACAAGAUAAUUAUUUUAAUUAGUCCAGACCAUACCCUUAGUCGAAAUGUGCAGUAGAUGCACAACCUUUUUUUAAAUUUAAAGCACAGAUUAGAACUUUUGAAUAGUCUAUUGCAGUGGUCCCCAAACUGUGAUCCACCAGCCUCAUGGUGGUCUGCAUUUGCAUAUGGACUUGUGGUUGAAGAUGGGAGAUGGCAUAUCCAUUGUAUUAAAUAUUAAUAUAUGUUUCUGUAUUUUCUUGCUUUUAUUUCUCAUACUGCAUUUUGUUAUAUUAUGGUGUGAAUUCUAGAACUGCAGUAUCAUGUUCAGGGGGAAGAUGCUACCGACUUCAAAUUUUUAUCUAUAAUGCUUCAGUUAAUUCUAAGGAAGGAAGUUCUCAGAUUAGGGGUGAUCCACGUUUUCAAUCUUUACAUAAUUAUUUCAGCCCAAGAAAAUUGCACUUCUGCUAAGUGCUCCGAAAAGAUGAAAGAUGAAGACAUAGUCUGCACACGAAUGAGCACACACACAUCUUAGAUCUUCCUCUUGACUGUGCUUCGAAGCUAUUCUGCCUCCUUAUAUGUGACUGCUUUUAAAAGAUUUGCUUUCAGCUGUGUCUCUCUGAUUUUUUCCUCAGCAACCUCUAUUUUCCUUGCAGGCAAAUGGCCAG